GCUUGAGCACGUAGGUGGGUUUGUAAGUCAGGUGUGAAAGCCUUCUGUUCAACGGGAGAAUUGCAUCUGAAACUACAAGUCUUGAGUGUAGGAGGGGAGAAUGGAACUUCUGGUGGAGCGGUGAAAUCCGUAGAUAUCAGAAGGAACGCCGGCGGCGAAAGCGAUUCUCUGGCCUAUUACUGACACUCAGUGUGCGAAAGCUAGGGGAGCAAACGGGAUUAGAUACCCCGGUAGUCCUAGCCGUAAACGAUGGGCACUAAGUAGAGGGGAUUACCGACGUUCUCUCUGCCGUAGCUAACGCAUCAAGUGCCCCGCCUGGGGAGUACGGCCGCAAGGCUAAAACUCAAAAGAAUUGACGGGGGCUCGCACAAGCGGUGGAGCAUGUGGCUUAAUUCGAUGCAACGCGAAGAACCUUACCGGGGCUUGACAUGGUAGAAGUAGGAACCCGAAAGGGUAACGAACGGUAUCCAGUCCGUGACUAUCACAGGUGUUGCAUGGCUGUCGUCAGCUCGUGUCGUGAGACGUUGGGUUAAGUCCCCUCACGAGCGAAACCCUUGUUUUUAGUUACCAGCGGGUUAUGCCGGGUACUCUAGAAAGACUGCCGUCGUCAAGACGGAGGAAGGUGGGGAUGACGUCAAGUCAUCAUGGCCCUUAUGCCCCGGGCUGCACACGUGCUACAAUGGUCGGUACAAACGGAAGCGAAGCCGAGAGGUGAAGCGAAUCCAAGC
rnacentral:rRNA from 1 species